rnacentral:rRNA from 1 species
GUCUUUUUGAAAUAAUUUAAAGUCUAAUCUNCCCCCUGAUAAAAAUUAAAGGGCUGCAGUAUAAUGACUGUACAAAGGUAGCAUAAUCAAUAGUUUUUUAAUUGAAAACUUGUAUAAAAGAUUUGAUGAAAUAUGGACUGUCUCUAAUUUAUAAAUUGAAUUUUAUUUUUUAGUAAAAAAGCUAAAAUAAAUUUAAAAGACGAGAAGACCCUAUAGAGUUUUAUAUUUAAUUUUAUUUUAAAAUUAUAUAAAAAUUAAUAUUAAAAAUAAAAUUAAAUAUUAUAUUGGGGUGAUAGAAAAAUUAAAUUAACUUUUUUUAAAAAUUAAACAUAAAUAAAUGAUUAUAUGAUCCAUAGAUAAUGAUUAUAAGAAAAAAUUACCUUAGGGAUAACAGCGUAAUAUUUUUUUUUAGUUCAAAUAAAAAAAAAAGUUUGCGACCUCGAUGUUGGAUUAAGAUAAAAUUUAAAUGCAAAAGUUUAAAAUUUUGAUCUGUUCNANCAUAAAAANCUNACA